UACGUAGGGAGCAAGCGUUGUCCGGAAUCAUUGGGCGUAAAGCGCGCGUAGGUGGCUUCGUAAGUCCGUUGUGAAAGUCAAAGGCUCAACCUUUGAAAGCCGAUGGAUACUGCGGAGCUAGAGUACGGAAGAGGCAAGUGGAAUUCCCGGUGUAGCGGUGAAAUGCGCAGAUAUCGGGAGGAACACCAAUGGCGAAGGCAGCUUGCUGGGACGGUACUGACGCUGAGACGCGAAAGCGUGGGGAGCAAACAGG
rnacentral:rRNA from 1 species